GGCGGGCUGUGGCCAAGUGGUUAAGGCAGUGGGUUGUGAUUCCACCACUUCGUCGGUUCACGUCCGAUCACUCGCCCCC
rnacentral:tRNA from 1 species